GACGAACGCUGGCGGCGUGCUUAACACAUGCAAGUCGAGCGGUAAGGCCCUUUCGGGGGUACACGAGCGGCGAACGGGUGAGUAACACGUGGGUGACCUGCCCUCAGCUCUGGGAUAAGCCUGGGAAACCGGGUCUAAUACUGGAUAUGACUCCAUGACGCAUGUUGUGGGGUGGAAAGCCUUGUGCGGCUGAGGAUGGGCCCGCGGCCUAUCAGCUUGUUGGUGGGGGAUGGCCUACCAAGGCGACGACGGGUAGCCGGCCUGAGAGGGCGACCGGCCACACUGGGACUGAGACACGGCCCAGACUCCUACGGGAGGCAGCAGUGGGAAUCUUGCGCAAUGGGCGAAAGCCUGACGCAGCGACGCCGCGUGAGGGAUGACGGCCU
rnacentral:rRNA from 1 species